GUUGUGAUGGCUCAGUGGUAGAAUCCCCAUCUUCCACGCGGGAAACCUGGGUUCGAUUCCCAGCCAGUGCA
rnacentral:tRNA from 1 species